CUAACAUAUUCUUACUGUGCAGAAAUAUUUAACAACAUUAUGUUUGACAUGUUGUAGCUUUGCUUUUUUUUCCCCCACAGGGCAUUUCAGCUCAACUCCCUCACCCAGAAUCCUGCAGCUCGCUCGGCCCCGAGAAUCUAAAACAGUUUGGCUCACAACUCCACAGAAGGUGACUUGGGGCAACCAGGAGACAAUAUGGUCGCCAUCCAGGACAGCAUUAAUAGCCGUACCAACAACAAGGAUUCUGGCUCUGUCACAACCCAAAAAAGAUUUGUCUGCCCUCAGUCAAGACCUGCUUAGGAAAAAGCACGAGGGGAUUGAAGAAGCAAAGAAGAGGAGCGCGUGUGUUCCUUCCAGUACAGCACAGUACGAACAUGUCGCGCGCCUGGCAACCCCAAAUGUUCGUCACAGGAGCUCCCAGGCAGUGAGGUAGAAACAUGCAUCUCGUGUGCAGCUAAAUCAGCUCAGGCGAGUCCAAGGCUUGAGCAGCUUUGUGUGCCCAAAGUGCGAGAGAGCAAACUUUUCUACCAGCUUGGCCAUCCUGAGAGUACCAUCAGGCCUGUGUCUAAAGGAGCAAGAAAAGCCACAGCAAGCACUCGCGUGAGAGAGCUCUCGAUCCCAAAGAGCUAUAUCCCUCCCUGAAAAAAAGAACUAAAGAGACAGAGACCUCAUAAUCAGCAGCGUUACUGUCAUAGUUAAAGAACAGAGAGAGUGAAAACAAGAAUAACAGAUGGACUUAAUAAAUGACCACACUAAUAAGCAUAUAAAAGGGUUUCUAUAUUUUUCUUUUCUCUUUUGUGCUUUUGCUGUCUGUAGGCCUCAGACUUUACCUUGGAACGUUUCAGUCUGAAAUGGGAAAGGUUGUGUUAUUUUAAGCAAAAUGCCAGAAUGGUAAACACUGCAAACAGGAUAACUUUUCUCAGUCGAUCAGUGUGUCUUUUGUGUGUUUUUCACAUCAGUUCACACAGCUUUAGUUUCGGUUACGCAACAAGAAUGAAGAGUCGGUGUGUGUGGGGGGGGAACGUUGCAACUCAAACACAGACCUUCUUUAAUAACUUUACAGAGUAAACUGCUUCUGUGUGUGAAUGUUGAUCCCAAUGACAUUUCUGUAUGUGAUAUAAGUAAGGAAUAAAAGAGGACGGGUCAUACUGUUGUAGGAAAGUAAUCAAUGACAGGGUGGUGCGAUGCAGCCAAUGUGAAGAGUUUUAUUCCUCCCAUACCACAGCAAUUUGUCAACACUAACAAUUUCUUUGAUUCAUUAUAGAACAUGUUGUACAUGUUGUAAAAGGAGACUCCUUUUAAAACUGCUAAAUAAACAUCUCCUCACAGAGAACAUCAAAUCAGCAAUUACACAAUUUAAAAAAUAAAAUAAAAUCUGUUUACUUGGCACAUACACCAUACAAAUUCUGUCAGAGCUGCUAUUGUAGAAAAUUAAUCAACACCCUCUGACCAGUCAGAAUCAUUUUGCCUCCACCUAUUUGUUUUGGAUUAUUUCCUUAAUUCCUAAGGAAAGUUUUUUUCCCGCCAG
ensembl:lncRNA